GGAAGAGGAUAGGCUGGUCCUUCGCUGGUCUUCAAAACCAGUGGAGGGUUUGAACAAAGCUCUCUGUGGGUUCGAUUCCCAUACACUCCC
rnacentral:tRNA from 1 species